GAUGGGCAUGAUGGCACAUGCCUGUAAUCCCAGCUACUUGGGAGGCUAAGGCAGGAGGAUCUCAAGUUCAAGGCCAGCCUCAGCUGAGACCCUGUCUGAGACCUCAGCUGUCCUUAGUGAGACCCUGUCUCAA
rnacentral:sRNA from 1 species